GGGCCACACCCAUGGCAUAUGGAGGUUCCCAGGCUAGGAACCUCAUCUGUGACCUACACCACAGCUCAGGGCAACGCUGGAUCCUUGACCCACUGAGCGAGGCCAGGGAUUGAACCCACAACCUCAUGGUUCCUAGACGGAUUUGUGAACAACUGAGCCACUAUAGGAACCCCAAUGCCAUGACUUUUUAAAGGAAGGUAACAAAAUCCAGAUACUAAAAAUAUGUAAUUAACUGGUGCCCAUCAUUCAGUCAAAUAUUACUAGAUAUAUAAAUACUAGAGAUGUUCAUAACCAUGAGAAAAAUUAAUCAAUAGAAAGAGACAGAAAUAGCAUAAAUAAUAACAUUGUACAUAUGAAUUCAAAAUAGCUAUUAACAAUAUGCUUAAGGAUUUAAAGAAAGUAUAGAUAUAAUGAAAAGGUAAAUAAAAACUAUAAAAUAAUGUGAUAAGGAACAAUAGUUAUAAAAUUACAUAAAAAAGAACCCAAAGAACUUCCGAAGAAGUUUCAAGGUGGCUAAAAUUCAAAGGGAUGAUAUUAUCAAAUGUUGGUGAGGAUGUAGAGCAACUACUCAGUAAGGCUGUAAAUGGUUCAAGAAGUUUAGAAAGAAUUUAGGCCAUUUUUUUCUAAAACCAAAUGUAUAGUCAGUUUACUCAGUAAUUAUUCUCAUUGUUUACUCAAAAAAAAAAAAAUGAAAACAGUUAAGGACAUACAGGAUUGCUCAUAGCAGCUUUAUUUAUAAUUUCAAGAACCUGUAACUAUCCCAGGUGUCCAUUAAAAGAAUGUUUUGAAAAGGUGAUAUACAUUCAUGAUUGCAACAACUGGAAUUAACUUCUAAAAUAUUAUGCUGCAUGUAAGAAGAUUUAUACAGAAAAGUAGAUACCAUAUGAUUCCAUUUAGAUGAAGUGGAGAAUGGACAAAAUUAAAUCUUGGUUAAAAAAAAAUCAGAAUAGCAAAUUACAUUUCUGGGGUGUAGUAGGAACCAUUGAGAAGGGCCAAAAGGAAAUUUCUUAGGGAAAAUGCUUUAUAUUUUUACAAGUAUUUUAUAGGGUUAUUAGUACCAUCUUUACACUGGGCAAGCAAGGCUCUGACUCAGCCUCCAUGCCCCAGUAGACCCACACUUUGUAAUACCUUUUUAUUAUUAUUUAUUUUAGUGCAGUUGAGUUUAUCAGCUUUUUUUCUUUAUGGCCUUUUGUGAUUUUUUUAAAAGAAAUUUGUUAAGUAUAGAUGACUUACAAUGUUGUGUUAGUUUCAGGUGUAGAGAAAAGUGAAUCAGUUAAACAUAUACAUAUAUCAUUCCCUUUCAGAUUCUUUUCUCAUAUGGGUUAUUACAACAGUAUUGAUUAGAUUUCUCUGUGCUACACUGUAGGUCCUUUUUACUUAUAUAUUUUAUAUAUAGUAGUGUGUAUGUGUUGAUCCCAACUCCCCAUCCCUCUAUCCCCACAUGUUUCCCCUUUGGUAAUUAUAAGUUUGGUUUUGAAAUCUUUAAGUCUAUUUCUGUUUUGUGCAUGAGUUCUUUUGUAUCAAUUUUUAUUAGACUCCACAUAUUAGUUAUAUGAUAUUUGUAUUUGUCUUACUUCACUUUGUAUGAAAAUUUGUAGGUCCACCCAUGUUGUUGCCAAUGGCUUAUUUCAUUUUUUAAGGCUGAGUAAUAUUCCACUGUAUAUAUGUACUACAUAAAGUUUUCUAAAUACAAUCUAUUGUCUAGGUCCAUAGGUACAGCAAAACCAUCUGGAAAAGGUUGACUGAAGCCCUAAUCUGCCUCUGUGCAGACCCUGUUCCCUAUUUCUUUUUGGAGGAAUGAUUUAUAAUCUUCUACCUGCAUAUAAGAUUGAAUGGAAAGCCCAAGGAUCUCCUAAACUUGUGCACUGUGGUGGUCUUGAGGCUCUGUGGACCAUUAACAUAAGGAGUAAAUUGUCCUCCUGCCAUGGCCAAAGAUAUUUCUUUCAUAGCUUUGCAAUAUUGAGCAGUUGGAAUAUUUCUGACACACUAAUUUAGGAUGAUUUAUAUGGAAACGUACACCCAAAAUAAUAAUAACUGGGAUCCCACAUACCUAAACUGUCCUUCUAGGCUACACAAUUGCUUGCAUUUGUCAAAACUCAGUAAAUUCAUACUUAAGACUUGUGAAUAACUUGCUUUUUAUCAAAAGUAAUAAUUUCAAAUAAAUAUUGAACUCUAGCUAGUACUAUUCCUGCUAAUAUUUUUAGGCCAGAGUGUGCUGAAAUCUGAAAAUUCCAUUGAGAUGCAUCAAAAAUUAAAAUAAAUAUUUGGAUUAAUAAUCAGAUAGAAAUAGAUAUGUUAUAUGUCAAGUAUAAUAAAAAUGUUAACAGUAAAUCAUAGAUGUAAAGGUAUUUAUGGUAAAAUUCUUUCAAUUGUGUUCUCCUUUUGAAAUUUUUUCAUAAUAAAAAGUGGAAAUAACAGAUAUAAUAAAUAUGCCCAAGGAUUAAAAGAAAAUAUGAUUAUAUCAAGGAGACAGAAAUGAAAGUAAAAAAACCUAAGAUGGAUAUUAGUUUAGUGACAAGCAGAGUUCUUAGAUGGCCCCCAAUAUUCUUGGCCCCCAAUAUACAUACCAUGUAUAACAUCCUCCCCUUGAGUGUGGUGGGAACUGUAGGUGUAAUGGAUGUUACACCUUGAUAUUAGGUGUUACACCUUGAUAUUAGGUGUUACUCUUAAUAUUAGGUUACUGAUUAGUUACAUUUGAGUUAAUCAAUAGGUGGAUUAUCCUAGGUGGGCCUGGACUAAUCAGCAAAGCCUUAAAAAAUGUGGAGAGUAAGAGAAAAAAAUCUACUGCUGGCGUGGAAGAAAGUGAAAAUGUCAUAUUGCACACUGCCUCUGGAGCCACUUCAGGCACCUUCUGUACCUAAAAGUAAUCUGUGGUAGAAAGCUAGCCUGAAUCCAAACACUUUAUCAUUUAGCUACAAGGAAACGAAUUCUAGGUAACAAUCCCUGAGCUUGGUAGUGUGCCCCAAACUUCAGCUGAUAAUCUAAGCCCCAGCUGACACCUUGAUUUCAGUCUGGUGAGUCCCUGAGCAGAGAACCCAGCUAACUCAAACUCAGAUAUCUAACCUAUGGAAACUAUGAGAUAAUAAAUAUGUGUGGCUUUAAGCACAUUUUUUUUCGGUAAUAUGCUGCAUAGAAAAAGCAGACUAAUGCAGUUGCCUAUUGCUAUCAGAGGGCCUCUUCCCCUAAGCCUUCUCAGUGGAGAGUUAAGAUUGUUUUCUAAAUGAUAUGCUAUAAGGAACCAUGAUUCUUUACACAAGUGACUGAUUCAAGGUUUGGCAUGAAGAAAUAAAAGAUGAGCACAGACUAUAUUGUUGUGUCGGAAGCAAGGACGUAUUUAAAGUAUGACUGGAAAAUGUCAAAAUUACGCAGGAGCAAUCUUCAACGAGAGAUGCCUACAGGACAAAUUUAGAACAAUUGCAGCAUCAAAAGAAAAUACUGUUACUAUUGUAGUAUACCCAAUGAAUAAAAUAGGAAUGAGUCCAUACUUAUAUAAAUGAAUAAAUCAAAAAAUGGUAAGGAUGAUAAGCCAUGGAAUGUAUACAUAUUUUUCAAAGAUCUUUCUCCCAAAAUAUAAAUUGUUUACAGAGAAUAAAAGAGUAGUUUUGCAAUGUAGGAUCCUGGCAGACACUACUUUCAUCAAGUGUUCAGAGCGAAUGCCACUUGUAUUAGGACAAAUUGCACUCAUGUGAUGCCUGAGCAUACAGUGAGAAGAACACAAUAUUACUUCUCAUUUAAAGAUUCAUUAAGUAACUUGAGUCUAAGAAACAUUAAAAGAGGUGACAUUCUGGAGUUCCCACUGUGGUGCAGCAGAAAUGAAUCCAACUAGUAUCCACGAGGAUGUGGGUUUGAUCUCUGGCCUCGCUCAGUGGGUUGGGGAUCUGGAGCUGUGGCGUAGGUUGCUGACAAGGCUGGGAUCCUGUUUUGCUGUGGCUGUGGCUUAGACUGGCAGUUGUAGCUCCCAUUUGACCCCUAGCCUGGGAACUUCCAUAUGGUGCAGGUGUGGACCUAAAAAGCCAAAAAAAAAAAAAAAAAAAAAAAAAAAA
rnacentral:lncRNA from 1 species